CGAGUUUUCUACUCCCAAACCCCUGUGAACUUAUACCUUUACCGUUGCUUCGGCGGGUUAACGCCCCGGAAAGGCCCCCGAAAGGGAGCCGCCCCGGAACCAGGCGCCCGCCGGGGGACCCAAACUCUUGUAUUUUCUUACCUAGCAUGUCUGAGUGGAAUCAUAAACAAAUGAAUCAAAACUUUCAACAACGGAUCUCUUGGUUCUGGCAUCGAUGAAGAACGCAGCGA
rnacentral:misc_RNA from 1 species